rnacentral:rRNA from 1 species
GAUGAACGCUGGCGGCGUGCUUAACACAUGCAAGUCGAACGGUGAAGGCGGAGCUUGCUCUGCUGGAUCAGUGGCGAACGGGUGAGUAACACGUGAGCAAUCUGCCCCUGACUCUGGGAUAAGCGCUGGAAACGGCGUCUAAUACUGGAUACGAGCUGCGAAGGCAUCUUCAGCAGCUGGAAAGAAUUUCGGUCAGGGAUGAGCUCGCGGCCUAUCAGCUUGUUGGUGAGGUAAUGGCUCACCAAGGCGUCGACGGGUAGCCGGCCUGAGAGGGUGACCGGCCACACUGGGACUGAGACACGCCCCAGACUCCUACGGGAGGCAGCAGUGGGGAAUAUUGCACAAUGGGCGAAAGCCUGAUGCAGCAACGCCGCGUGAGGGACGACGGCCUUCGGGUUGUAAACCUCUUUUAGCAGGGAAGAAGCGAAAGUGACGGUACCUGCAGAAAAAGCGCCGGCUAACUACGUG